UACGGAGGAUCCAAGCGUUAUCCGGAAUCAUUGGGUUUAAAGGGUCCGUAGGCGGUUUGGUAAGUCAGUGGUGAAAGCCCAUCGCCCAACGGUGGAACGGCCAUUGAUACUGCCAGACUUGAAUUAUUAGGAAGUAACUAGAAUAUGUAGUGUAGCGGUGAAAUGCUUAGAGAUUACAUGGAAUACCAAUUGCGAAGGCAGGUUACUACUAAUGGAUUGACGCUGAUGGACGAAAGCGUGGGUAGCGAACAGG
rnacentral:rRNA from 1 species